CCUACGGGUGGCAGCAGUGAGGAAUAUUGGUCAAUGGGCGUAAGCCUGAACCAGCCAAGUCGCGUGAGGGAUGAAGGUUCUAUGGAUCGUAAACCUCUUUUAUAAGGGAAUAAAGUGCGGGACGUGUCCCGUGUUGUAUGUACCUUAUGAAUAAGGAUCGGCUAACUCCGUGCCAGCAGCCGCGGUAAUACGGAGGAUCCGAGCGGUAUCCGGAUUUAUUGGGUUUAAAGGGUGCGUAGGCGGCCUUUUAAGUCAGCGGGGAAAGUCUGUGGCUCAACCAUAGAAUUGCCGUUGAAACUGGGAGGCUUGCUUAUGUUUGCGGCAGGCGGCAUGCGUUGUGUAGCGGUCAACUGCAUAGCUAUCACGCAGAACCCCGAUUGCGAAGGCAGCAUACCGGUGCACACCUGACGCUCAGGCAC
rnacentral:rRNA from 1 species